ensembl:lncRNA
GACUAAACCAGGACUAAACCAGGACUAAACCAGGACUAAACCAGGACUGAACCAGGACUAAACCAGGACUAAACCAGGACUAAACCAGGACUAAACCAGGACUAGACCAGGACUAAACCAGGACUAAACCAGGACUAAACCAGGUCUAAACCAGGACUAAACCAGGACUAAACCAGGACUAGACCAGGACUAAACCAGGACUAAACCAGGACUAAACCAGGACUAGACCAGGACUAGACCAGGACUAGACCAGGACUGAACCAGGACUGAACCAGGACUAAACCAGGACUAAACCAGGACUAAACCAGGUCUAAACCAGGACUGAACCAGGACUAAACCAGGUCUAAACCAGGACUAAACCAGGACUAAACCAGGAC